rnacentral:rRNA from 1 species
UACGAAGGGUGCAAGCGUUGUUCGGAAUCACUGGGCGUAAAGAAUGCGUAGGCGGCUUAACAAGUCGGGAGUGAAAUCCCAGGGCUCAACCCUGGAACUGCUCUCGAAACUGUUUUGCUAGAGUCCCGGAGGGGUUAGCGGAAUUCCGAGUGUAGAGGUGAAAUUCGCAGAUAUUCGGAGGAACACCAGUGGCGAAGGCGGCUAACUGGACGGGAACUGACGCUGAGGCAUGAAAGUGUGGGGAUCAAACAGG